AAUGAAGCGGCUGCGGGAGCAGAAUGACAUCCCCCAUAGUCUGGGGUCCAAAAGUUAUGCCAGAUUUAAUCACGAUGAGGCAUCUAUAUCUGGCACGCCCCCCACUCGCGCCGAGUCUUUUGUGAAGACGCACACAAGGAAAGACGGCACUUACCUGAACGAGCGGACACGGGACCUAUGCGAGCGGAUGACACAGAGUUUGUCCACUGAUCCUGCUGCCUCGGACCCCGUCUCAUCAGAUACGGUGCGUUGGGCACCUGGCGACGCGUACGAGCAAGCGGUUGGGCGACCCGAGUAUGCGGGUAGGGUUCGGCAGGUUGGGCCGAACGUUACUCCUGUUCGCGGGACUUGUUUCUCGUAUAGGGACCGCACACGGGGGGGAC